rnacentral:rRNA from 1 species
CCUACGGGAGGCAGCAGUGAGGAAUAUUGGUCAAUGGGCGCGAGCCUGAACCAGCCAAGUAGCGUGAAGGAUGACUGCCCUACGGGUUGUAAACUUCUUUUAUAAAGGAAUAAAGUGAGGCUCGUGUGCCUUUUUGUCUGUACUUUAUGCAUAAGGAUCGGCUAACUCCGUGCCAGCAGCCGCGGUAAUACGGAGGAUCCGAGCGUUAUCCGGAUUUAUUGGGUGUAAAGGGAGCGUAGAUGGGUUGUUAAGUCAGAUGUGAAAGUUUGCGGCUCAACCGUAAAAUUGCAAUUGAUACUGGCAGUCUUGAGUGCAGUUGAGGUAAGCGGAAUUCGUGGUGUAGCGGUGAAAUGCUUAGAUAUAACGAAGAACUCCGAUUGCGAAGGCAGCUUACUAAACUGCCACUGACAUUGAGGCUCGAAAGUGUGGGGAGCAAACAGGAUUAGAUACCCUGGUAGUC